UACAGAGGGGGCAAGCGUUGUUCGGAAUUACUGGGCGUAAAGGGCGCGUAGGCGGCCUGCUAAGUCGAACGUGAAAUCCCCGAGCUCAACUCGGGAACUGCAUUCGAUACUGCGGUGCUUGAGGACUGGAGAGGAGACUGGAAUUCAUGGUGUAGCAGUGAAAUGCGUAGAGAUCAUGAGGAAGACCAGUGGCGAAGGCGGGUCUCUGGACGAGUUCCUGACAGCUGAGGCACGAAGGCCCAGG
rnacentral:rRNA from 1 species